UACGUAGGGGGCAAGCGUUAUCCGGAUUUACUGGGUGUAAAGGGAGCGUAGACGGCAGCACAAGUCUGGAGUGAAAUGCCGGGGCUUAACCCCGGAACUGCUUUGGAAACUGUGCAGCUAGAGUGCAGGAGAGGUAAGUGGAAUUCCUAGUGUAGCGGUGAAAUGCGUAGAUAUUAGGAGGAACACCAGUGGCGAAGGCGGCUUACUGGACUGUAACUGACGUUGAGGCUCGAAAGCGUGGGGAGCAAACAGG
rnacentral:rRNA from 1 species